UUCGGCCAGGCGACGACCGGCGCACGGGUGAGUAUCGCGUAUGUAACCUACCUCUGACUGGAGGAUAGCCGCGAAGAGAGUCGGAUUAAUACUCCAUAAUACUAUGGACAGGCAUCUGUUCAUGGUUAAAGCCCCGGCGGUCAGAGAUGGGCAUGCGUGACAUUAGCUUGUUGGUGAGGUAACAGCUCACCAAGGCUACGAUGUCUAGGGGGUCUGAGAGGAUGGUCCCCCACACUGGUACUGAGACACGGACCAGACUCCUACGGGAGGCAGCAGUGAGGAAUAUUGGUCAAUGGGCGAAAGCCUGAACCAGCCAUGCCGCGUGAAGGAUGACAGCCCUAUGGGUUGUAAACUUCUUUUGUACGGGAAGAAACGCUUCUACGUGUAGAGGUUUGACGGUACCGUACGAAUAAGCAUCGGCUAACUCCGUGCCAGCAGCCGCGGUAAUACGGAGGAUGCAAGCGUUAUCCGGAUUUAUUGGGUUUAAAGGGUACGUAGGCGGGAGCUUAAGUCAGUGGUGAAAUCCUGCAGCUUAACUGUAGAACUGUCAUUGAUACUGGGCUUCUUGAAUGUAGUUGAGGUAGGCGGAAUGUGUAAUGUAAGCGGUGAAAUGCUUAGAUAUUACACAGAACAACGAUUGCGAAGGCAGCUUACUAAACUACGAUUGACGCUGAGGUACGAAAGCGUGGGGAGCGAACAGGAUUAG
rnacentral:rRNA from 1 species